CAACUUUCAACAACGGAUCUCUUGGUUCUGGCAUCGAUGAAGAACGCAGCGAAAUGCGAUACGUAGUGUGAAUUGCAGAAUUCAGUGAAUCAUCGAAUCUUUGAACGCACAUUGCGCCCUUUGGUAUUCCAAAGGGCAUGCCUGUUCGAGCGUCAUUUGUACCCUCAAGCUUUGCUUGGUGUUGGGCGUCUUUUGUCUCCAGUUCGC
rnacentral:rRNA from 1 species